AAGAGCCCAAGAGGGCGAGAGAAAGGAGGGGGGAGGAGGAGGCAGACAGCCCCUUUUAUAGUGGGUCGGCCUACCUGGCUUUUGCCAGGUAACUGUGGGAGUUUAGACAGAAUGGUAACAAAAAUCCUGUCUGAGAAUAACCAGUCAAGAGAGGGCUGAGAUUAAAGCUUGGUGGCUGAGAGCUCCGCCCGUGAGCGUUGGCUCAAACUCAGUACACCAGAGAAGCAUCAAAAGGGCAGCAGAAAGCCUCACAUGGCAGGGCCUGCUCUACAGUUACGGAAACUGCUGAGCACCGGGUCUAAUGACCUCAAGGAGCUUAGCCGACUUUGUUUCACCUGGUUACACUCGAAGACCAUUCAUCUCUGAGUGAGUUUCUUAAACUCCUGUGCUGCAAAUGAACUCCUUAAUGUAGCAGUGGUGAGAGGGAGCCCUUCAAGUGAUUAGGUCUUGACCUCUCCAUGCUCCUGAAAACAUUAACGCCAUUCCCAGUAGGGUGAGUUAUCCCAGGAACGGCAGAUGGAUGAGUCUGACACCAAUCUCUCUCGGUCUCUCGUCUCUCGGUCUCUCUCUCCCUCUCUCCCUCCCUCCCCCUCCUCUCCUCUCCCCCUCCCCCUGCCCUCCCUCCUCUGUCUACACACACAUACACCCCUCCUGUGCGCUGUGAAAGUCUGAGAGCUUUGUUUUGUUUUGAAGGCAGCUUGUUAAUCCUCAUGACUUUGUACUUUUCAUUUCUUAUUGUAGGCACUCAAAUCGAGGCUCCUAAUUAUAGAGAGUUCCCUCUAACACCCAGAGCUCAGUGAGGAGCCCAAAGUGCUUCCCAGCACUGGUUUGCCAUCCCUCUCUUACUUCAGGCCCUCAAGGCCUACGUUUGUUCUCAAUUGUGGUAAAACCACCUGGCCUGCGGAGCGCCAUACAGUUGAGAGCCAAGACUGUUCCCUUGAGUAGCUUUGAACCUGUACUGCCAUCUUGCUAUCUGCUGCACCCCCGGCUUGAGAACCAACCCUCAGUUGACAAAUACCUUCUUUAUUAUCCCCUGAACAUCUGCUCGUGGGUUUAUGCUUCAAAGGGGGACUGCUUGCUCGAGUGCUUUUCAAGGUCGUAGUGUCAGCGUCCGAGACUGACUGUGACCCUAACUGCUUAGAAGCAUUUUCCUGCGGUGAAUAAAGUUGCUUUUGGUUUAAUUCUGAC
rnacentral:lncRNA from 1 species